rnacentral:rRNA from 1 species
GCCAUGGAAUUGGGGGACCUGAAGCCGGUGGCUAACCCGCAAGGGAGGCAGCCGUCCAAAGGUCGAAGUCCAAUGACUGGGGCG